UACGAAGGUCCCGAGCGUUAUCCGGAUUUAUUGGGUUAAAGGUGCGUAGGCGGGCUAUUAAGUCAGUGGUGAAAGCCUACAGCUUAACUGUAGAAUUGCCAUUGAUACUGAUAGUCUUGAGUAUGAUUGAGGUGGGUGGAAUGUGUCAUGUAGCGGUGAAAUGCUUAGAUAUUGGGAGGAACACCGGUGGCGAAGGCGGCA
rnacentral:rRNA from 1 species